UGCCUAGCAACUCCUAUCCCUACCUCCUCGCGGUGCUGGCCACGAGGAGGUAGGGAAGAUCGGGUAACCAACCCUGGUGGUUGCUGACAGGGAAGG
rnacentral:ribozyme from 1 species